AUUGAACGCUGGCGGCAGGCCUAACACAUGCAAGUCGAGCGGAUGAUGGGAGCUUGCUCCUGGAUUCAGCGGCGGACGGGUGAGUAAUGCCUAGGAAUCUGCCUGGUAGUGGGGGACAACGUUUCGAAAGGAACGCUAAUACCGCAUACGUCCUACGGGAGAAAGCAGGGGACCUUCGGGCCUUGCGCUAUCAGAUGAGCCUAGGUCGGAUUAGCUUGUUGGUGAGGUAAUGGCUCACCAAGGCGACGAUCCGUAACUGGUCUGAGAGGAUGAUCAGUCACACUGGAACUGAUACACGGUCCAGACUCCUACGGGAUGCAGCAGUGGGGAAUAUUGGACAAUGGGCGAAAGCCUGAUCCAGCCAUGCCGCGUGUGUGAAGAAGGUCUUCGGAUUGUAAAGCACUUUAAGUUGGGAGGAAGGGUUGUGGAUUAAUACUCUGCAAUUUUGACGUUACCGACAGAAUAAGCACCGGCUAACUCUGUGCCAGCCGCCGCGGUAAGAC
rnacentral:rRNA from 1 species